UACGUAGGGGGCAAGCGUUGUCCGGAAUCAUUGGGCGUAAAGAGCGUGUAGGUGGCUCGGUAAGUCCGCUGUGAAAGUCCAGGGCUCAACCCUGGAAAGCCGGUGGAAACUGUCGAGCUCGAGUCCGGAAGAGGCGAGUGGAAUUCCUGGUGUAGCGGUGAAAUGCGCAGAUAUCAGGAGGAACACCAGUGGCGAAGGCGGCCAUCUGGAUCAACACUGACGCUGAGGCACGAAAGCGUGGGGAGCAAACAGG
rnacentral:rRNA from 1 species